rnacentral:lncRNA from 1 species
AUGAGGCGUGAAGGGAGGGACGCGCGCGGCCACGCUCCCCGCAGGACGCGGCUCCGGACCCGGCGUCGGGGCUCCGCGGGACCCAGGUGUUCCCGAGGGGAAGAAACUGGCAGAAAGUGGACGCCUCCGCCCGCUGCCCCCCCCCCCCCACACACACACACAGGUAACGGCACCACAGCUGCCUUCCGCACACGCGGCUCCCGGCGCCAACGCCAACGCCUCCGCGCCCUCCGGGACCCUCCGACCCCGGCUCAAGCUCCUCCCCGCCCGCGGGCCCCGGCGGGAGCGGCGGCGGCGGCGGCGGGGAGCGGGGAGCGGGGAGCGGGCCGCGCUCGCUGCCAUUGGCUGUGCGGCCCGAGGGGCGGGGGCCCCGCAGUCCCGCCGGCUCCGCGGCCCCGGCUCCCGCCCGCCCUCCCGCAGCCGGUGCGCUCGAGCCCUGCGCUCCCCGGACGGCCGCGCGGGGGCGGGGCGCCGAGGCGGGGGCGGGGGCGGGGCGCGGCGGGGCGCGGGCGGGGCGCGGGCGGGGAGCUCAGCGCAGCUCCAGUCCGGGCCGGGCCGGCGCGCCGCGGGAGGGGAGGUCGCCGCGCGCGGGCUCGCAGGUCAGUGCAGGCUCCCGGCGCCGCCUCGAGCGGGGCGGGGCGUGGGGGCCGGGGCCGGGGCGGGGGCCGGGGCGCCGGGCCCUGGGGGCGGGCUCGCCCUCCGCGGGGAGCGCCCUGCCUCCUCUCCUGGGGCGGCCUCCGCUCCCUCCGAGCGCCCCCCCCGCGGCUCUCCGCGGCUCCCAGGGGUGUGGCUCCGUCCUGGGAGCCCCCUGAGUGCAUCCCCUCGGCGGCCAGCAGGCUCCGCGGGUCGGCGGUCGCGAUCCUCGGGAGGACCCGGCGGGGCUGCGCAGGGCCGCGGCCCCGGGACGACCCGCUCCUGUCCCGGACACAGCCGGGAGGAUCUGCCCUCGCGAGCGCUGCUGCAAGCAUUGAUUCCGCCGUCAAGUGUAGGCAGUUCCACACUUUGCGGAACGCGCUUCUAGGUGCAUCUGUUUGCUUUUGCCUUUGUGGUGUGUGCGGUCACCUCUGUUUGUUUUGCUUCUAUCCGGGUUUACAGGGUCGUCUGUCCCCUCCGGGCACUCCCCGCGUGCACUGCCGGCCUUGCACCUUCGCGCGCCCGCAGAGCCUUUGCACCCGUCUUAGGUGCUUCAAAUCCGGGCAGAAUGCUCUGAAGAGAUUGACACAUGUUCAUGGUUCUCAUUAAAGAAGCUUCAUGUAAGUGACAAAGGACACCUGAUCCCCUGCUGCCUUUGUUGGAAAACGAAGAAGUUUUGUUGUGCUGAUUUAACUGCCUGCAAUCUUUGCUGAUGCGAUCAUAAAAAAAAAAAAAAAAUGCUGAUUCUGUCCUUUUUAACCCCUGUGUGAAACUGACUUUUAACAUACUUGUGCAUUCUUUGAUCCUCCAUAAAGAUGUCUGAACCUGACUCUUCAUCUGUAUUUUCGG